rnacentral:rRNA from 1 species
CAUGGCUCAGGAUGAACGCUGGCGGCAGGCUUAAUACAUGCAAGUCGAGCGGUAAGGCCGAGCGUAGCAAUACGCGAGGUACACGAGUGGCGCGACGGGUGCGUAACGCGUAUGCAACCUGCCCCUGACCGGGACAAAACAGCUGGAAACGGCUGCUAAUAUCCUAUGGUUACCGAGGAGGGCAUCCUCCUUUGUAUAAAGAUUCAUUGGUCGGGGAUGGGCAUGCGUAUUAUUAGGUAGUUGGUGGGGUAACGGCCCACCAAGCCGACGAUGAUUAGGGGUUCUGAGAGGAUUAACCCCCACACUGGAACUGAGACACGGUCCAGACUCCUACGGGAGGCAGCAGUAGGGAAUAUUGGGUAAUGGAGGCAACUCUGACCCAGCCAUGCCCGCGUGAAGGAAGACGGCCCUAGUGGGUUGUAAACUUCUUUUAUCGUGGAGUAAACCCGGUCACGUGUGGCCGGUUGAGAGUACACGAGGAAUAAGUAUCGGCUAACUCCGUGCCAGCCGCUGC